rnacentral:lncRNA from 1 species
GUGCUUAGAGAAAUAUGCUUGUUUCGGGUUUCAGACUCUCAAGAGGAUAGUGGUCAUUGAUUUCUAGCCUUAAAGUAACGAUAAAGACUUCCAGAUAUGAAUGGGCUCCUAUGGAAUCCAGCCAGUCUGCCUGAAAGCCUCCUGCUGUAAAACACUUGGUUUCAUCUGGAUGUCCACCCUCCUCUUCCUUUACUCCUCCUUCACUUUUUCAGAUUGCCUCACUUGGCAGCUGUCCUGAUGAUCACACAGAAUGGCAUUUAUUGACUGAAUAGUUGGCUUAUUGAAGAGUAACUACUUUAAGAUUGUGAAAUGAUUUCUGAAGGUUACACAAUUAUCUGUGGAAGUAAAGGCCUUUAUUAUAUGUAUAUCUUUCUAGUCAGUUACGUGGCAGUCAUAAACUUAGAGAAGGGGGCCCCAGGUGGGAUCCUGGAAAAGGACAUUUUACUAAUAUCAAAAGAAUAAACGCUGGCAUGAAAGCCCUCAUAUGAGAAUAUCGAGUGAGUCCUUUCUCAGACUGUGCAUUGACAUUGCCACCAACAUUACUGGUCUUCCACAUUUUCUGUAAACUGAAGAAGGCCCAGUAGGGAGGCGUCUGUUGUCAUGAGACCAUCCUGCCGUCUGUCUGUCUUCUGGGUCAUAAUAUCUGGAACUAACAUGUGGUUGCUUCUUGAUGGGUUUUGAUAGAAUAUGAGUGUCUUUGUUUCCGGUGGUGUGGAAUACCCUGUUAUAUGAUUUUUUCAGAGACAUUUGGCUUUACAAAGGGCA